rnacentral:rRNA from 1 species
GAUGAACGCUGGCGGCGUGCCUAAUACAUGCAAGUCGAGCGAACGGACGAGAAGCUUGCUUCUCUGAUGUUAGCGGCGGACGGGCGAGUAACUCGUGGAUAACCUACCUAUAAGACUGGGAUAACUUCGGGAAACCGUAGCUAAUACCGGAUAAUAUCUUGAACCGCAUGGUUCAAAAGUGAAAGACGGUCUUGCUGUCACUUAUAGAUGGAUCCGCGCUGCAUUAGCUAGUUGGUAAGGUAACGGCUUACCAAGGCAACGAUGCAUAGCCGACCUGAGAGGAUGGUCGGCCACACUGGAACUGAGACAGGGUCCAGACUCCUACGGGAGGCAGCGGUAGGGAAUCUUCCGCGAUGGGGGAAAGCGUGACGGAGCAACGCCGCGGGAGUGAUGAAGGUCUACGGAUCGGAAAACUCUGUUAUUAGGGAAAAACAUAUGUGUAGGUAACUGUGCACAUAUUGACGGUACCUAAUCAGAAAGCCACGGCUAACUACGUG